UCCGGUGGUAAUUGCGGAGGGGCCACACCCGUUCCCAUUCCGAACACGGCAGUUAAGUCCUCCAGCGCCGAUGGUACUGCUCCCUUGCAGGAGUGGGAGAGUAGGACGCCGCCGGGU
rnacentral:rRNA from 1 species